GAUCCAGAGAUUUCCGAAUGGGGGAACCCAACAUCUUUAAUAGGAUGUUACGAUUGUGUGAAUACAUAGCACAUUCGAGGUAGACGCAGAGAACUGAAACAUCUAAGUACCUGCAGGAAGAGAAAGAAAAUUCGAUUCCCUGAGUAGCGGCGAGCGAAACGGGAAAAGCCCAAACCAGCAAGCUUGCUUGUUGGGGUUGUAGGACUCCAAUAUGGUAGUUCUUUCAGAUAGUCGAAUGACUUGGAAAAGUCAGUCAAAGAGGGUAAAAACCCCGUAGACGAAAUGUGGAAGACACCUAGGAGGAUCCUGAGUACGGCGGAACACGAGAAAUUCCGUCGGAAUCCGGGAGGACCAUCUCCCAAGGCUAAAUACUCCCUAGUGACCGAUAGUGAACCAGUACCGUGAGGGAAAGGUGAAAAGCACCCCGGAAGGGGAGUGAAAUAGAACCUGAAACCGUGUGCCUACAACAAGUCAAAGCCCGUUAAUGGGUGAUGGCGUGCCUUUUGUAGAAUGAACCGGCGAGUUACGAUUGCAUGCGAGGUUAAGUUGAAGAGACGGAGCCGCAGCGAAAGCGAGUCUGAAUAGGGCGUUUGAGUAUGUAGUCGUAGACCCGAAACCAUGUGAUCUACCCAUGUCCAGGUUGAAGGUGCGGUAAAACGCACUGGAGGACCGAACCCACGUACGUUGAAAAGUGCGGGGAUGAGGUGUGGGUAGCGGAGAAAUUCCAAACGAACUUGGAGAUAGCUGGUUCUCUCCGAAAUAGCUUUAGGGCUAGCCUCGGAAUUGAGAAUGAUGGAGGUAGAGCACUGUUUGGACUAGGGGCCCAU
rnacentral:rRNA from 1 species